rnacentral:lncRNA from 1 species
GGUAAGUUCGUCAUAAACAUCAUCGAUCUCUGCUAAUCAACUCCUUCGGAUCUGUUAAAAAAACGGCUUCUCAUAAUACGUGUGUUGUGAUCGUGCGUGCAGUCGAGCGACGAGGAAGAGGAGGUGAUCGAUGAGAACGGAGAGAUCGUCAAGAGGAAGAAGAAGAAGGGCCUUAAGGAGAAGAUCAAGGAGAAGCUGCCGGGCCACCACAAGGACCACGACGGCGACCACCACACGGCCGCCGUACCGGCCCCCGCGCCCGUGGUGGACGCGCACGCUCACCACCACCAGGAGGAAGAGCACAAGCCGCAGCACUUCCCGGCCCCGGCGCCACCCCCACACGUGGAGAC